rnacentral:rRNA from 1 species
AACGCUAGCUACAGGCUUAACACAUGCAAGUCGAGGGGCAGCGGGGAGCUAGCUUGCUAGCUCUGCCGGCGACCGGCGGAUGGGUGAGUAACACGUAUCCAACCUGGCUCAUACUCAGGGAUAGCCUUUCGAAAGAAAGAUUAAUACUUGAUGUUACAGGAGUUUCGCAUGAUUCUUCUGUCAAAGAUUCAUCGGUAUGAGAUGGGGAUGCGUUCCAUUAGGCAGUUGGCGGGGUAACGGCCCACCAAACCGACGAUGGAUAGGGGUUCUGAGAGGAAGGUCCCCCACAUUGGAACUGAGACACGGUCCAAACUCCUACGGGAGGCAGCAGUGAGGAAUAUUGGUCAAUGGGCGAGAGCCUGAACCAGCCAAGUAGCGUGAAGGAUGACGGCCCUAUGGGUUGUAAACUUCUUUUAUGCCGGAGUAAAAAGGCCCACGUGUGGGUCCUUGCAAGUACGGCAGGAAUAAGCAUCGGCUAACUCCGUGCCAGCAGCCGCGGUAAUACGGAGGAUGCGAGCGUUAUCCGGAUUUAUUGGGUUUAAAGGGAGCGUAGGCGGGUUGUUAAGUCAGCUGUGAAAUCCUGAUGCUCAACAUCAGCACUGCAGUUGAUACUGGCGACCUUGAGUGCGGUAGAGGCGGGCGGAAUUCAUGGUGUAGCGGUGAAAUGCUUAGAUAUCACGAAGAACUCCGAUUG